UUACCCGAAUCUAUUCCUUAAACACAUAUGGCAAGCCUUUCUUCUUUUUUCACUCUCCUGAAUUUUAAAAGUGAGUUAGAGUAUAUUUAUAUAUAGUAUAGAAUAAUUUGAUAAUGUCGCUUAUGCAAAUAAUACUAGUACAAAUAAAAUAAAAGUAGCUUUAUUAAUAAAUACUCUAACAAGAACAUCGCAAAUAUCAUUAUACUGAUAUUACUUAAUAAUAUAAUUAAAAUUUAAAUAUACAAAAAUAAAUCACUCACAUAAUAAAAAAUGUCAAAUGACAUUUUAUAUCUUUUGUUGAAAAUUUUCUGUUUAAAUUUCUUAUACUAUUUUUAUUAUUUAAUUGUGAGAAAUCAUGUAAAUACCCCCACUAAUGAUGCUUCAAUAUGCAUGAAAUUUAUGCUAGUGUAUCUCAAGGACACUGGCAGGAGAGAAAAGAAAACGAUGCAAAAUGCAAAAAUGAAAAUAACACGCUAAGACCAUUCUAAUGGUGCAUCAUUUAAAAAGAAAGAAUAAAAAAAAUAAGACAAAGUUCUUCAAUGAUCAAUCAUUUCAGGGAAAAAUAAGGAUAUGAAUAGUAUUUUCUCAAAUUUGAGAAUUUAUUAUCCACAACAUCAUUUUAUGAAAAAUAUGGUUAUGACAUCUAAGAGAGAGUGUUAUAAAUCAAUUGAUAGAUGUCCAUAACCGGUCCAUACGCUUAGAGAGAGAGAUGACCUAACUCUAGAGAGAGAGGCGGUCACGAGACUUAGAGAGAAAGGCGGCUACAUGGUUUAAGAGAAAAUAAAACUCAAUUUCCUUUUCUUUGUAUGAUUAAAAUUUUUCUUUUCCUUUAUGUUUAUGAUUUGUAAUCUUUUUUUUAUCUAUAUUGUAAUCCCAAAAGGAAGAUUAAUAAAACACAGAAACUAAAUUCUAAGUUUGACAGCAUAUAUAUAAUUAUCACUAUCAUUUGUCGUUAUUGUUGACGACAUAGAUAUAUAUUACAAUAUAUCCACUGCAUUAAUAACUAAACUCUGAUGUAAAUCUAUAAAUUAACAAUCAUGAUUUCAGUCUAAGAAAUCUAACACUACUAAAAGUCGAAUAUGAAGAGUAAAGAGGGUGUCCACGUCGACCAUUAAAAUCAACCAAUGAGGUUGCUUAGUUUUUCCACGUCAAACCGAAUUGGACCGGUCUUGGGCUGUAUUUUUUUUUAAUCGUGAAAAACGAAGAAACAUGUUGAUCAAAAGCUCUGGUCCGAUAAAGUCGGAUAAUGUCGUGAAUCUUUGACGUCUCUCUUCUCUUCGCUCUUUGAAAACCCUAAAUGAAUCUCUUCGACAACUCCUCCCUUCGCCGUUUCAAUCGACACCAUAUUCAUUAGUGAGCAAUGAAUCCUCUGAGUUUCACAUUAAUGGAUUCCUUUCGCCUUAUCCUCUCUACCUCUCUUUAUAAGUCUCUUCUUUUCACAGAAUUGUUACAGAAAAAAAAAACACUCAAACGAUGAAUUCCAGCAGAAAAUUCCAAAACGAUCUUACCGCGAAUAAACCAAACGGAAAAGACGUUGUCUCCGGCGAUCCUAAGUCGAAGAAACCAAACGGCAAAUCCGUUGACUCCUCCGCCGAGCUGCUAUGUUCAAUGAUAAAAAAAGGAAGAGGUCGUCUCAACUGGAGAUCUUCCCACGCUCAUCUCAGACUCCAACGAGCAGGUAACUCAUGAUUUCACUAUACUUUAUUACUCAGAUCAAAAUAGAAACAACUAAUGGUAGUCACCUCCGCUACUGACUGCUGAAAAAAGAUCAAAGCUUUAUUUUUUUUUUUUUCUCUUUUCUUCUUUGUAUGACUGCGAAAGAUUUUUCAUUCUGUGUAUUAACUGAUAGUUCAACUGAUUGCUUUAUAACUACGAUGUUAUCUUAUAUUUUCUUCUCUUCGUUUUUGUUCUCUGUUUCUUUUUGUGUGAAUCUAAUUGAUAAAAAUGUUCCUCUUGGACAUGUAAAUUGGUUUCUGACUGGUGCUUGAAGCCUUGAAGAUAUACCUCUGUAUAUUGACUUCUCUCUAUGAAAAAUUACUCUUCUAAAAGGAUGAGAGCAGUUUUCUAUUUUCAGAAAAUGAUCAUACCGUCGGAAGCUCGAUGGAGAGUUGGAAGAUGCAGAGCAAAAGGUCCCGGAAAUUAGGAAGACAGAUAACAACGUGUGUGAGUUGUCUAUGAUACAAGAACCGGCAACUAAUGGGGUAAAGAGAAUGAUGGAAACCAUGGAGAUUCUAAUGACGCUGGAAAGAAGCUAUGAGUUGAUAACAUCAAUGCCGACAGUGGUUUUCCUGAGGCAGAGUAUCCUGGUGAUGAUAUUCCUGGAGCUGGAGCUGGAGCUGGAGCUGGAGCUGUUACAACAAAGCUCUCUCAAGGUGUGACCAGGGAAGCCCCAGAAACAAGCAUUGGGAUGGUAGAAGGAACUACAACCGCCACAGCUGUCUUACCUCCUGAACCUGUUCCAAGUGGAUUCACUGCUGAGAGGUCACCGCUGCAGGAAGACACGUUGCUGCUGUUUUUUUUCUCCUUUUUCUUUCCUUUCUCACUGUGAAAUAUUGAUUUAAAUGUUUACGAAUUGAACUCCCUCCAGAAUAAAAUUAGACUCAUGUACGUGAUC